rnacentral:rRNA from 1 species
GUGGGGAAUAUUGGACAAUGGGGGGAACCCUGAUCCAGCCAUGCCGCGUGUGUGAAGAAGGCCUUUUGGUUGUAAAGCACUUUAAGCGAGGAGGAGGCUACCGAGAUUAAUACUCUUGGAUAGUGGACGUUACUCGCAGAAUAAGCACCGGCUAACUCUGUGCCAGCAGCCGCGGUAAUACAGAGGGUGCAAGCGUUAAUCGGAUUUACUGGGCGUAAAGCGCGCGUAGGUGGCCAAUUAAGUCAAAUGUGAAAUCCCCGAGCUUAACUUGGGAAUUGCAUUCGAUACUGGUUGGCUAGAGUAUGGGAGAGGAUGGUAGAAUUCCAGGUGUAGCGGUGAAAUGCGUAGAGAUCUGGAGGAAUACCGAUGGCGAAGGCAGCCAUCUGGCCUAAUACUGACACUGAGGUGCGAAAGCAUGGGGAGCAAACAGGAUUAGAAACCCGGGUAGUC